UGUGUUGUUGGGUAGGGGAGCGUUCUGUAAGCCUGCGAAGGUGGCCUGUGAGGGUUGCUGGAGGUAUCAGAAGUGCGAAUGCUGACAUAAGUAACGAUAAAGCGGGUGAAAAGCCCGCUCGCCGGAAGACCAAGGGUUCCUGUCCAACGUUAAUCGGGGCAGGGUGAGUCGACCCCUAAGGCGAGGCCGAAAGGCGUAGUCGAUGGGAAACGGGUUAAUAUUCCCGUACUUGGUGUUACUGCGAAGGGGGGACGGAGAAGGCUAUGUUGGCCGGGCGACGGUUGUCCCGGUUUAAGCGUGUAGGUGUGUGUUCCAGGUAAAUCCGGUUCACUUUAACACUGAGGCGUGAUGACGAGGCACUACGGUGCUGAAGCAACAAAUGCCCUGCUUCCAGGAAAAGCCUCUAAGCAUCAGGUAACAUCAAAUCGUACCCCAAACCGACACAGGUGGUCAGGUAGAGAAUACCAAGGCGCUUGAGAGAACUCGGGUGAAGGAACUAGGCAAAAUGGUGCCGUAACUUCGGGAGAAGGCACGCUGACACGUAGGUGAAGUGAUUUACUCAUGGAGCUGAAGUCAGUCGAAGAUACCAGCUGGCUGCAACUGUUUAUUAAAAACACAGCACUGUGCAAACACGAAAGUGGACGUAUACGGUGUGACGCCUGCCCGGUGCCGGAAGGUUAAUUGAUGGGGUCAGCGCAAGCGAAGCUCCUGAUCGAAGCCCCGGUAAACGGCGGCCGUAACUAUAACGGUCCUAAGGUAGCGAAAUUCCUUGUCGGGUAAGUUCCGACCUGCACGAAUGGCGUAAUGAUGGCCAGGCUGUCUCCACCCGAGACUCAGUGAAAUUGAACUCGCUGUGAAGAUGCAGUGUACCCGCGGCAAGACGGAAAGACCCCGUGAACCUUUACUAUAGCUUGACACUGAACAUUGAGCCUUGAUGUGUAGGAUAGGUGGGAGGCUUUGAAGUGUGGACGCCAGUCUGCAUGGAGCCGACCUUGAAAUACCACCCUUUAAUGUUUGAUGUUCUAACGUGGACCCGUGAUCCGGGUUGCGGACAGUGUCUGGUGGGUAGUUUGACUGGGGCGGUCUCCUCCUAAAGAGUAACGGAGGAGCACGAAGGUUGGCUAAUCCUGGUCGGACAUCAGGAGGUUAGUGCAAUGGCAUAAGCCAGCUUGACUGCGAGCGUGACGGCGCGAGCAGGUGCGAAAGCAGGUCAUAGUGAUCCGGUGGUUCUGAAUGGAAGGGCCAUCGCUCAACGGAUAAAAGGUACUCCGGGGAUAACAGGCUGAUACCGCCCAAGAGUUCAUAUCGACGGCGGUGUUUGGCACCUCGAUGUCGGCUCAUCACAUCCUGGGGCUGAAGUAGGUCCCAAGGGUAUGGCUGUUCGCCAUUUAAAGUGGUACGCGAGCUGGGUUUAGAACGUCGUGAGACAGUUCGGUCCCUAUCUGCCGUGGGCGCUGGAGAACUGAGGGGGGCUGCUCCUAGUACGAGAGGACCGGAGUGGACGCAUCACUGGUGUUCGGGUUGUCAUGCCAAUGGCACUGCCCGGUAGCUAAAUGCGGAAGAGAUAAGUGCUGAAAGCAUCUAAGCACGAAACUUGCCCCGA
rnacentral:rRNA from 1 species